GACAGAGCGAGACUCCAUCUCAAGAGAAAAAAAAAAAAGUCCAGAGGAGUUUUCUUGCUUUGGGGUGUUGUAGAAAUGAUCUUGGAACUUAGCCCCAAAGGACAAACAGAAUUUCUCUUGUCUCUGGGCAAGUUGUAGGCUCAUGUGACAGGUCAGGACAGUGUAGGGCUGGCAUACCGCUCGCUCACGUUCACAUGCUUGCAGAGAACGUACACAGACGAGGUGACUGAAGCCUGGUCUGCAGGUCAGGCAGGUCAUCCUGAUGCCAGCUUGUACUGUCAAAGAGUCACCUAACUGCAAACGGAAUUUUUGUAAAGCAGAUCACAUUGUUAAUGCCUCAGGUGGCUCAAACCUUGAACGCAUUGGCAAACAAAAAACAAUCCAGAAAGGUCAAUUUUCACAAAGGUCAGUGUGCACAUGAAUCUACUUGUUAAAAUGUACAUUUUGAUUCAGUAGACCUAGGAUGGGGCUCAGGACUCUGCAUUUUGAUCAAGACUCCUUGGUACGCAAAGUGUGGCCCAUGGGCCAGUUGCAUCACCAUCCUCUGGGAGCUUGUUAGAAAUGAAGAAUCUCAGGUUCCAAGUCCCACCUCAGACUACAGAAUCCGGCGUUGCAUUUUAACAAGAUUCUCUGGGAAGUCUUAUACAUAUUAAAGUUGGAGAAACAGAAACCAAGGCGAGGUGGUCCUUGGUUAAGUCUGCACUGUCACCGCCUGAGGGAGUCAUUCGUGAUUACAGCCCCAGCUAGCAUGCCUGUGGGCUUGAUCCAGGCCCACCUGGGUCAUCCAUGGGCUAGGAUCCCAUGGAUGGGCACAUGAUCCAUGAGUCUGAACUCCUCCCAAAGCCAUUACGGUGGGGAGGGGAGAUCGCCGUACGUAUAACCCAGUCCCUUUGGCCAGGUGACAUUUGCUCUGAACUGGAUGAUACGAAUGAUGUCAGAUUUGGAAUCUAACAUCGUGGCUGUGGAGAGGGUCAAGGAGUACUCCAAGACAGAGACAGAGGCGCCCUGGGUGGUGGAAGGCAGCCGCCCUCCCGAAGGUUGGCCCCCACUUGGGGAGGUGGAGUUCCGGAAUUAUUCUGCCCGCUACCGGCCGGGCCUAGACCUGGUGCUGAGAGACCUGAGUCUGCAUGUGCACGGUGGCGAGAAGGUGGGGAUCGUGGGCCGCACUGGGGCUGGCAAGUCUUCCAUGACCCUUUGCCUGUUCCGCAUCCUGGAGGCGGCAAAGGGUGAAAUCCGCAUUGAUGGCCUCAACGUGGCAGACAUCGGCCUCCAUGACCUGCGCUCUCAGCUGACCAUCAUCCCGCAGGACCCCAUCCUGUUCUCGGGGACCCUGCGCAUGAACCUGGACCCCUUCGGCAGCUACUCAGAGGAGGACAUUUGGCGGGCCUUGGAGCUGUCCCACCUGCACACGUUUGUGAGCUCCCAGCCGGCAGGCCUGGAAUUCCAGUGCUCAGAGGGUGGGGAGAAUCUCAGCGUGGGCCAGAGGCAGCUUGUGUGCCUGGCCCGAGCCCUGCUCCGCAAGAGCCGCAUCCUGGUUUUAGACGAGGCCACAGCUGCCAUCGACCUGGAGACUGACAACCUCAUCCAGGCUACCAUCCGCACCCAGUUUGAUACCUGCACUGUCUUGACCAUCGCACACCGGCUUAACACUAUCAUGGACUACACCAGGGUCCUGGUCCUGGACAAAGGAGUAGUAGCUGAAUUUGAUUCUCCAGCCAACCUCAUUGCAGCUAGAGGCAUCUUCUACGGGAUGGCCAGAGAUGCUGGACUUGCCUAAAAUAUAUUCCUGAGAUUUCCUCCUGGCCUUUCCUGGUUUUCAUCAGGAAGGAAAUGACACCAAGUAUGUCCGCAGAAUGGACUUGAUAGCAAACACUGGGGGCACCUUAAGAUUUUGCACCUGGAAAGUGCCUUACAGGGUAACUGUGCUGAAUGCUUUAGAUGAGGAAAUGAUCCCCAAGGGGUGAAUGACAUGCCUAAGGUCACAGCUAGUUUGAGCCAGUUAGACUAGUCCCCGGUCUCCCGAUUCCCAACUGAGUGUUAUUUGCACACUGCACUGUUUUCAGAUAAUGAUUUUAUGAAAUGACCUCUGUCCUCCCUCUGAUUUUUCAUAUUUUCUGAAGUUUAGUUUCUGUUUUUUAAUAAAAAGCUUUUUCCUCCUGGAACAGAAGACAGCUGCUGAGUCAGGCCUGUACUCUGGGGUGCUGCCUGAAUCCAUUAAAAAUGGGAGUACUGAUGAAAUAAAACUACAUGGUCAACA
rnacentral:sRNA from 1 species